ACGUCACAGUACGCAGGUAUUAACUACGCACCUUUCCUCACUGAUGAAAGUGCUUUACAACCCGAAAGCCUUCUUCACACACGCGGCAUGGCUGGAUCAGGCUUUCGCCCAUUGUCCAAUAUUCCCCACUGCUGCCUCCCGUAGGAAGCCGAAUUCCAGCACACUGGCGGCCGUUACUAGUGGAUCCGAGCUCGGUACCAAGCUUGGCGUAAUCAUGGUCAUAGCUGUUUCCUGUG
rnacentral:rRNA from 1 species